rnacentral:lncRNA from 1 species
ACAAAACUCCAAAGGAAAUACUAACAUUAACAACUAUGUUCUGGCUGCCAAUAUUCCUAACAUUCCAAUAAGCAACCUUGAUGAACCAGUUAAAAUAUCAUUCAAUUUAAUACACCAGAAUGCUGGCAACCCAGAAUGUGUUUACUGGGAUGAAUCUCCAGAUGAUCCUCGUUGGUCAACAAAAGGCUGUAAGAUGUCCGAUUAUGUACCUGGAAAGAAAGCAGUCUGUUCCUGCGACCAUCUUACAAGUUUUGCCUUAUUAAUGGAUGUCUACUCGAAUGAGGACGAUAUAAAAACUGUUAAACCCUUAUCUGUUAUAUCUAACAUUGGCUGUGGAAUAUCAUUUGUCUGUCUUGUUCUUACAGUAAUAAUUCACGUUUGUUU